GGACACGUGGUAUCCUGUCUGAAUAUGGGGGGACCAUCCUCCAAGGCUAAAUACUCCUGACUGACCGAUAGUGAACCAGUACCGUGAGGGAAAGGCGAAAAGAACCCCGGCGAGGGGAGUGAAAAAGAACCUGAAACCGUGUACGUACAAGCAGUGGGAGCACGCUUAGGCGUGUGACUGCGUACCUUUUGUAUAAUGGGUCAGCGACUUAUAUUCUGUAGCAAGGUUAACCGAAUAGGGGAGCCGAAGGGAAACCGAGUCUUAACUGGGCGUUAAGUUGCAGGGUAUAGACCCGAAACCCGGUGAUCUAGCCAUGGGCAGGUUGAAGGUUGGGUAACACUAACUGGAGGACCGAACCGACUAAUGUUGAAAAAUUAGCGGAUGACUUGUGGCUGGGGGUGAAAGGCCAAUCAAACCGGGAGAUAGCUGGUUCUCCCCGAAAGCUAUUUAGGUAGCGCCUCGUGAAUUCAUCUCCGGGGGUAGAGCACUGUUUCGGCAAGGGGGUCAUCCCGACUUACCAACCCGAUGCAAACUGCGAAUACCGGAGAAUGUUAUCACGGGAGACACACGGCGGGUGCUAACGUCCGUCGUGAAGAGGGAAACAACCCAGACCGCCAGCUAAGGUCCCAAAGUCAUGGUUAAGU
rnacentral:rRNA from 1 species